rnacentral:ncRNA from 2 species
AGUGUAUCAAGAGUGUGGAGAUAUGAAGGGUUAUGGCCCGACGCUCCAUCGGCAACUUGCCCUUCCAUUUUGGUAAGGAUAAAGUGCCAAUUCCAGCCCCGCCCCGCGGGGAAAGAUACAAC